CUCUGGUCCCUUCCAGAGACGAGUUGAAAAAACACACAAUCAAAAAAGGUGAUUCUGUUAGCGGUUGUCUUCUCCGUCGGCGGCGGCGGCCUGGUAGCGGUCCCUGUCCCAUUGGCCCUCCUUCCCCGAACGUCCCCGCUCUUCUCCACGCCACGUGAUUCUUCCGGUGAGAGGUCCCCGUCGGCGAGAGCAACAGUGCUGACGGUCGCCGCGUCGUGACCCUCCUGCUCCAUGAGUUCGAAUACCCAUUAUUCGUCUGCUCACCCAGAUCUAGCGUAAAAACAUGCUGCUUUGGUGAAGGAGAAAUGCUCAUCAACUGGACCUUCACCAUAUGUCAUUCAUGUCGCCUCAUCACACCAUAGAAAUACAUCUCCAAUUUCUCGGCACUCGCAACACCGACAACAAGAGGGCAGGGGUUCACACCAAGAAUUACCCUGAAGACAAAAAAAAGAAUCCUGGAACCAGAAAAAGGAAACGCCAAGAAUUACCCUGAAGACACAAAAAAAGAAGAAUCCUACACCCAGAAAAGGAGGGCUAUUCUACAACAGAAGGAAAAGAGUAAUGAUUCGCGUUAAUUAAGAGAAACACCAAGAAAAUCGAUAUUCUUCAAUAAGUUUAUGAGGGAUCCCCGCUCUUCUCCACGCCACGUGAUUCUUCCGGUGAGAGGUCCCCGUCGGCGAGAGCAACAGUGCUGACGGUCGCCGCGUCGUGACCCUCCUGCUCCAUGAGUUCGAAUACCCAUUAUUCGUCUGCUCACCCAGAUCUAGCGUAAAAACAUGCUGCUUUGGUGAAGGAGAAAUGCUCAUCAACUGGACCUUCACCAUAUGUCAUUCAUGUCGCCUCAUCACACCAUAGAAAUACAUCUCCAAUUUCUCGGCACUCGCAACACCGACAACAAGAGCCUACGUGAGAAGCUUUCACGGACUACCGCUCUGUCUUGUUUGUAAAUCGGCUCCGUGUGGGAUGAUGGCCCAGUCCGAGCCCAACUUCCACGUGGAAACUGGUCCGGCCUUCGGACAUAGGGUUGGAUUAGAAGUGGAAUAAGAGGAUUUGAGGAAAUUAAAGACAUGUUUGGUUGCCUACCUCAAUUGCCACACUUUGUCUAACUUUUUUUGCCUAAGGUUAGUUAUUCAAUUCGAACGACUAACCUUAGGCAAAGUGUGACACAUUUAGCCACAAACCAAACAUGCCCUAAAUCCUUUAUUAGUUAAAACCAAAUAAAAAAUAUUUAACCCCUUUAAUCGUUUCCUCCGUGGAGCUAAUGGGGCGGGGCACGAGAAAGAAACUACCCCAUUGGGCUUUAAUAUCAGGAACUUGAUAAAAAAACUUUGUGUAUUUAUGUAUUGUGGUUUGUAAGAGUAGGAGACUAUUACUAAGUUAAAAUAAUUGUGACUUGUGAGUUAUAACUUGUAUUAUAAGGAUCUAUUUCAGAUUUAUUUGUCUUAUUAUCUUCUAAAAAUUGAUAUAUUUAUAAUUGUUAUCACACAAUAAAUUUUUUUUUGUGUUAUAGUAUUUCUCCACGGUCUCAAAUGGGGAACUGAGAUUCGUGGGGAUGAGGAUAGGGAUGAGUUUGUCCCGUUAAACUAAAUGGGACGGGGACAGAAAAUAAGUUUCGGGGAACUAGGCGGCCUCACAACCCCACCCGGUUGCCAUCCCUAGAUACCGGUGAAGAUGGUGAGAUUUUGUGUUUAUGGGGUAAUCAAUUGUUGCUCUAGAAUUGUCGCUCAUAUAUUGGGCACACCGAGCCUCCAAAAAUUAAGGUCCUAAUCCAUAAACACUCCACUUAGACUGUUGUUGGUGGGAGACCAUGUCGACUAUGCAAAGGUGAUAUCAACUCUCAUGGUUCGGGCACGCGUAGGUUCGCCUCACCGAUCGGUGCUAAAUCGACCAUCCUUAUUGGUCGGUAGUGUUUGCAUUACAACCGGAAUUGGUCGAUAGAUAUCGACUGGUGCAACAGAAGGUUGGUAUUGACCUGGAUCGGUCGGUAUAGAUCGAUACUAACGCCUGCUCCCAAUAUGUCAUCUUUAAUUAGUCAACUUUGUUUUUUUAUGUUAAAAACUAAAUACAAAAAAACUACAAACUAUCUCUAUGAAUUACGUAACUUUUAUUUUCAUAUAUUACGUAUUUUAUGUUUUAUGAAUUAUAUUAGUUUUAUUUACAGUUUAUAAACUACGUAAUUUGUAAUUUUUAUGAACUAUAUAAUUUUUAUUUGCUUAAUUAUAUACUAAGAUGGAUUUUUAUUUUAAUAAAACGUUGUUUCAUUUUAGAUAAGAGUCUGUAAAAGAAUUUGAUGUGUCAUCGAGGUAGUUGUAAAUGAUAAAAACUGUGCACUAGAGUGUAGCAUAUAAAUGCUGAUGAUGUUAGAUAUAGAUAGAACGAUAGCUGAUGUAGCGAUAGAUAUAUAGGAUCUUAGGGUUGGAACGACUCACUCGAGCACAGUCAUUCAACGACUUCUCCUAUAUACUUCAUGUAUACUAGGUGAGUGCCCGUGCGUUGCAACGGGGACAUAUAAUACUACGGUAACUUAUAUACAAAAUG